rfam:Paramecium tetraurelia chromosome undetermined scaffold_16, whole genome shotgun sequence.
GACAACGUGGCCGAGUGGUUAAGGCGGCAGACUAGAAAUCUGUUGGGGUUCCCCGCGUCAGUUCGAAUCUGGCCGUUGUCG